ensembl:lncRNA
GGUGACGUCGCUGUAACCAGGUCAAAGGGGCAGAUCAAACCAAAGCCCUUCAUUCUUCGUUCACUAUGGAGGAAAAACUAAUCAGCGCAGUGGCUAAUCACCCAGAAUUGUACGAUGCUAGCUGCUACUUCUACCGGGACAGGAACAAAAAGGAACUAGCUUGGAGGCACAUAAGUGAGGAGAUCGGGCAACCUGGUAAGUUCGUUUGUUCUUAUUUUUAAUUUUCAGACUGACCCGAUGAAGCCGCGCAAAAGCUAGCAAGCAUGCCUACUGUCCCGCUAUUUUCCCACUGAUGUACAAAUACCUUUCCGCUAACAAGAUAAUGUGUUUAUUCAGAGGACAUCUGCAGGAAAAAGUGGAAGAGCCUCAGGGACACCUAUAAUAAGGAGAAGAGGACGGAGAAGGAGAAGAGGAGUGGGUCUGCAGCAGGAUCGGGGAGGAGAUGGAAGUUCUUCGCGGUCAUGGGGUUUCUGGACCCCUUCCUCACCCCGCGGGAGACAAGCGGCAAUAUGGUCCAGGCCGUGGAGAACUUCGCCCCCGAGGACCAGGGACAGCCCGGAGAGGCAGCAGGGGAGUUUCAGUCUGAAGAGUCAUCUGAUUAUGCAGCAGAGCCAUCCCCUGCUGCUUCUUCUGGCUCCCCAGUCCCUGGUCCCUCCACUCCUGCUGCUGCACCCACAGGCCCACAGAGGAGGAAAGCUCAAAAGCGGCAGAGGGACGGGUCACAGGAUGGUCCAUCGGCGGUGGAGCUGGCCAUCCUGGAGUCGCUGAAGAGGCCACGCCCGUCUCCAACGGAGUAUUUCCUCCUCAGCCUUGCUCCUGCUCUCCAGGGCAGAAACAAUGUUCUUAUUUUUCUCCUCAUUCUCCCUGAGGCUCUUCCACUCCAAGCUGGGUCCUUUUUGUUCCUGUCUCUCUGUAAAUAGUUAAAUGUUAUAUAUUUAUGUUUAAUGUUGUUAUUGAAUUUAUAUAUUUUUUCAAAUAAACAUUUUUAAUAACUAAUGUCUCAGUUUUACUACACAGCAAAUAUUCGCACCC